AUUGAACGCUGGCGGCAGGCUUAACACAUGCAAGUCGAGCGGGGUGAUGGUGCUUGCACUAUCACUUAGCGGCGGACGGGUGAGUCAUGCUUAGGAAUCUGCCUAUUAGUGGGGGACAACAUCUCGAAAGGGAUGCUAAUACCGCAUACGUCCUACGGGAGAAAGCAGGGGAUCACUUGUGACCUUGCGCUAAUAGCUGAGCCUAAGUCGGAUUAGCUAGUUGGGGGGGUAAAGGCCUACCAAGGCGACGAACUGUAGCGGGUCUGAGAGGUGAUGACGCCACAAUGGGACGGAGAGACGGCCCGGACUACUGCGGGGGGCAGAGGUGGGGAAGAUUGGAGAGUGGGGGGAACCCUGAUCAAGCCAUGCCGGGUGUGUGAAGAAGGCAUUAUGGUUGUAAAGCGCUUUACGCGAGGAGGAGGCUAUUUUGGUUAAAGCCGGAGAUGAGUGGACGUUACUCACAGAAUAAGCACCGGCUAACUCUGUGCCAGCCGCCGCCGUAA
rnacentral:rRNA from 1 species